rnacentral:rRNA from 1 species
GACGAACGCUGGCGGCGUGCUUAACACAUGCAAGUCGAACGGAAAGGCCCUGCUUGCAGGGUACUCGAGUGGCGAACGGGUGAGUAACACGUGGGUGCUCUGCCCUGCACUUCGGGAUAAGCCUGGGAAACUGGGUCUAAUACCGGAUAGGAGCCAUUUUUAGUGUGAUGGUUGGAAAGUUUUUUCGGUGUAGGAUGAGCUCGCGGCCUAUCAGCUUGUUGGUGGGGUAAUGGCCUACCAAGGCGGCGACGGGUAGCCGGCCUGAGAGGGUGGACGGCCAAAUUGGGACUGAGAUACGGCCCAGACUCCUACGGGAGGCAGCAGUGGGGAAUAUUGCACAAUGGGCGCAAGCCUGAUGCAGCGACGCCGCGUGGGGGAUGACGGCCUUCGGGUUGUAAACUCCUUUCGCGAGGGACGAAGCUUUUUGUGACGGUACCUAGAUAAGAAGCACCGGCUAACUACGUG